CACAAAAUAUGGAAGCAGCAGUAGAGAACUGUGUACCAGACAGUUGGCGAACAGGGACACCUACUCUGCCAACACCACGAUCAGCUGGCACAGCUGUGUGUGACUAUGGAUGAGGUCCUCCACCCAAGAGGAUUCACUUGCAAAUAGCGGAGGGCCUUCUACCACGAGUCGUCCCAGCGAGCCAGUCCCCCAGCCUACCCAGCAGUCAGCCCAGACUGGAGCCCCCACCACCGAGAGGUCCUUGGUUGCCCCGAUCAUUUCCCUGCUGACUGGGCGAGCAUUGGAUUGGACUGUGGCAGUUUGAGAGAGGGGAGAAGAGGAGUUGGGUUCCUACGAGGGGUUCAUGUCUCUAUUCUUGGCGGUUUUCGAUCAUCAACCGGAGGGCAGAGAGAGUGAGCGACUACUCCGGCAGGGUGCCCAGAGGAGUACACCCUCACCUUCUGAACUGUGGCAGCCUCCAGCAAAUGGCAUCAGCCGGUGCUCCGCAACCUAUUUCGAAGAGGACUGCGUGAGGAGGUCCAGACGGCGUUGGCGUGCCGGGAUGACAACCCACGGAGAUGGGUCAAACACCUCUCCAUGACAGCACUGGAGACAUUGCGUGUCACUUUCGUGGGCAGGAGGGGCUCCAGUGGUGUCUGGUGCAUCUCAAGCCGAAGUCCACUAGGGCAGAGGGACAGCCCUGUGAUUAUCUAUCUCUCCGGGUAGGCGUCGAUGAGGCACUGUUCCAGCUGGUCUUCCAACACAAUGGACUUCGGAGGACAUCCUCUUCGACGUGCCCACAUUUCACUUCACUGGUGUGGAGAGCCUUCAUAGAACCUGGGGGUCAUGGUCAGCCUCACUUCUGGGUACCUGCCUCGCUCUAAUAGGCAGGUGGAGAUGAUGAACCAGCAGUUGGAGAUGUUCCUGAGGAGUCACUGCCAGGAUCGGCUGGGGGAGUGGGCCCCAAUGCCUUCCCUGGGUGGAGUACACCCAGAAUUCAUUACAUCACUCCUCCACCGGGCUGACUCCCUUCCAGUGUGUUCUGGGUUAUCAGCCAGCCCUGUCUCCGUAGAUCCCAAGCCAGACUGAAGCGCCUGCGGUGGACAAGUUAUUCAGGUGCACAGAAGAGGUCUGGAACAAUGCCCAUGUGAGGUUCCAGGGGGCCGGCAGAAGGAUGCAGGCAGAUCGAUAAUGCAGUGAGGCUCCCGUGUUCCAUCCUCGUGAACGCAUCUCGCUCUCCACCAGGAACCACCCACUCCGUCUUCCCUGUUAGAAGCUGAGACCCCAGUUUGUGGGGCCUUUCAAGGUCUUCCGGAGGGUCAAUGAGGUUACAUACACACUACCGUUCAUGAGUUUGGGGUCACUUAGAAAUGUCCUUGCUUUUGAAAGAAAAUCACUUUUUUCAUCAUUUAAAAUAAUAUCAAAUUGAUCAAAUACAGUGUUGACAUUGUUAAUGUUGUAAAUGACUAUUG